rnacentral:rRNA from 1 species
GCGCCCUUUGGUAAUCCGAAGGGCAUGCCUGUUCGAGCGUCAUUGCAACCCCUCAAGCAUUGCUUGGUAUUGGUUAUCGUCCCCGGGACGAAGCCGAAAAUCCGUGGCGGUCCAGCGAGACUUCAAGCGAUCAAGAUUUUUCAUCACGCUUUGCAA